CCCUUAGUAACGGCGAGCGAAAAGGGAAGAGUCCAGCGCCAAGUCUUGACGCCAAGCGUUCAAGAGAUGCGGCGUUAAUGUAUUAUCGCAUCGUACAUUGUUACCUGUUUCAAGUUCCCUUGACAGGGACAUCCAUAGCGGGUGCUAGGCCCAUAGAGGCAGGAAACCAGUGUGCGCAGAUAAUGCAUUCUAGAGUCAGGUUGCUUGAGAGUGCAGCUUAAAGUGGGUGGUAAACUCCAUCUAAGGCUAAAUAUGACAGCGAGACCGAUAGCAAACAAGUACCGUGAGGGAAAGUUGCAAAGCACUUUGAAGAGAGAGUUCAACAGUACGUGAAACCACUGGGAGGCAAACAGAUGGAACCACGAAGUUGCGCCUCGCUCGAUUCAAUCAUUGAUACUGGUUACCGGUUCUUGUGUGGAUCUUUUCGGAGAUUAGCAAGUGUCGUGGAACUUGUUUCAAUGGUGCAUUUCGUGUGAGGAUGCUAAGCCACGUUCGAUUAGAGUUGGGACGGCCGUAGGACAGAAUUCGAGGAAGGUGACCGGAAAGUGCUUGCAUUUUUCGGUGUUAUAGCCUUGAAUUGGUACCGUCGCCUAGCAAACUGAUCGAUAGAAAUUCUCCUUUGGAGUUAAACUGUGUCUGCCUGUGACCAUUAAUCAACAUUUCGAAGUGUUCUUUACGUAUCUUUGGUGCGGAAAGGCAUUUCAACAAUGUUGGUUAGUGGUUGCUUGCGUGACAUGGUGGAACUGUGGCGCGAGUAGGUCGGUUUCCCUCUGACCC
rnacentral:rRNA from 1 species